rnacentral:rRNA from 1 species
UACGUAGGGUGCAAGCGUUGUCCGGAAUUAUUGGGCGUAAAGAGCUCGUAGGCGGCUUGUCGCGUCGGCUGUGAAAACCUGGGGCUCAACCCUGGGCCUGCAGCCGAUACGGGCAAGCUAGAGUGUGGUAGGGGAGAUCGGAAUUCCUGGUGUAGCGGUGAAAUGCGCAGAUAUCAGGAGGAACACCGGUGGCGAAGGCGGAUCUCUGGGCCAUUACUGACGCUGAGGAGCGAAAGCGUGGGGAGCAAACAGG